CAGACACAUUGAUACAUAGGAAGAACACAAAUUUUUAUGAAAAAAUUGUAACAAAUACAUUGAAAUAAAAGGAAAAAGGCUUUAUGCAACAUCAAAUAAGAUUGGAGCCUCUUCUAAGAUACUUUCAUAAAUUUAUAAACAACCAAAUCAUAGAGAACGUAUCACAUCAACGAACUUUCCCUCUAAGUCACUUGUAAAAAAAUUGGAAAUUUUUAUGAUUAUUAAACAGAAACAAAGUCAUCAUGGAAUAAAUUGUGUGAAUGUUCGUCUUUUGACAGUAUUAGAAUAUCAUCAAUGUAG
rnacentral:lncRNA from 1 species